GAGCAAGUAACGUCUAAAUUAACUUUUUUUUGCUGAUGAACUGUAUAAAUGAGUGUCUAAUAGUGUUUUAAAUGUGUGUAUUCAUUAUUUUAGCAUUUUGGUGCAUUUUCUUUAAAAAUUAAAAAUUCUGCCUAAAUACUACAGUAUAGCUCCACCUUCAGCUUAAAACAUAGAAUUUGACUCAUUUUGAAUAAAUUUUAGCCAAUGGCUAAAGAGUAAGAUACUACGUAAACCAGUAGAGUACUACGUAGCAGCUCUCUGUCAAAGUUAUAAAAGCAAUGAGAGUCUCGGCCACGCCUUGUGGCGAGUUGGGAGUUGGAUUUGCAAGCGAGUGUAGGCUAGCCGUAGUUCAGCAUUAGCAUAUAGCAUUAGCAUAUCCUAGUCUUUAGCAUAGCUUUUAGUGUUAUACAUACUUAUUUAGUGUUAGCUUGGCUGUUGGAUAUUGUAGUUAAGUUAGUGUUUGGCUGUUAGUGUAAUUAGGAAAGUAGUUAGGGUUUAGUGCUCCAUAUCGUGUUAGCAUGGUAAGAUGGUGUAGUGUAGUAUGGUUGCGGUAGCUCUGUGGGCAUUUUACCCACGAUUCUGCACGCCUCCGUUUGAAGAGGGAGGCUGUGCCCACCGUGGCUCUUCCGCGAUUUAGAUGCAGCCCACCGACUCUGCUCCCCCACCACGGCGGGCUCCAGUCUGAGGUGAGUCAGCUAAAUAAAGUUUUAACAUCUUCUAAAGACAAUUCCCUACCUAAAUGCAAAGUCCGAGAGACGUGGUUCACUUCCUUUAGCUAGUCAGUCGGUAAUUCUGCAACAGUGUCUCUAACUAACGCAGCACCAGUUGACAGACAGCAUUACAGCAUGAAACCCAGCUUGUGACCCGGUUCUGUGAGGAAUUCUGUUCAGGAGGUCGCAUUUCAGGCUCUCCACAUCAUAUGUGACUGACUUUUACGUUAUAACAACGAUCACACUAGGAAUGGUAUAAAGCGCCUUUAUAGGACAGUUUCUUUUGUAUUUUAUCUGACUUUAUAAACUCCCAACAACAAUGUGCUUCUAUUUUUUUUUUUUCAGGCUAAAUCUACCCAAGACACUGGCUGUCAGACUGAUUUAGCUGCAAGAAUGUACUUGUCCAGGCUGAUGUGAAGCUUUACCGGCGUAGCAAAGUCAGCCAGAAGAGCUCACAGCCUCAGUGUGUCUUGUGACACAAGGAUCAUGACAGAAAUUCAUCUUCCAGAAAGUCAGAGCAGCGUCCACACCCCUGACGAUGUGAGGUGUCUGCUGUUGAUUCCAGCUUCCACCUCAGUGACAGUGCAAGCUCAGUGAACUGUUCAAGGAGGCUACUGAUUCUGGCCCUGUGACACUUGGUGGUGACGUGUGAGCUGAUUCACCUGGACACUCAGCAAAAUAUGGACUCUACACCAUGAGGCAGGCACAAGUUAAUACUUAUAAGAGCACAUAAGCAUGAGGAUGUCCUCACACACCUGUAACCUAUCAGCUCAUCUGGCAGAAUAGAGAGAGAAGAGACAACACCACAUCUCCUGUUCCUGGAAAGCCUUCAGCCUUCCUUCGAUGAAUGAGAACCUCCAUCAGCUCUGUCUCCUGUCUACCUACAAUUAUUAUAAUAAAUAUUGUGUUUGACAAGUU